UUAAGCAUAUCAAUAAGCGGAGGAAAAGAAACCAACAGGGAUUGCCUCAGUAACGGCGAGUGAAGCGGCAAAAGCUCAAAUUUGAAAUCUGGCUCUUUCAGGGUCCGAGUUGUAAUUUGUAGAAGAUGUUUCGGGUGUGGUCCCAGUCUAAGUUCCCUGGAACUGGACAUCACAGAGGGUGAGAAUCCCGUAUGUGACUGGGUACCUACGUCCAUGUGAAACUCUUUCGACGAGUCGAGUUGUUUGGGAAUGCAGCUCAAAAUGGGUGGUAAAUUUCAUCUAAAGCUAAAUAUUGGCCAGAGACCGAUAGCGCACAAGUAGAGUGAUCGAAAGAUGAAAAGCACUUUGGAAAGAGAGUUAAACAGUACGUGAAAUUGUUGAAAGGGAAGGGCAUGCAAUCAGACUUGCGCCUAGUUGAUCAUCCGGGCUUUUGCCCGGUGCACUCGAUUAGGCUCAGGCCAGCAUCAGUUUAGAGGGUUGGAUAAAGGCCUUGGGAAUGUGGCCCCUCUCGGGGGGUGUUAUAGCCCAAGGUGCAAUGCAGCCACUCUGGACUGAGGACCGCGCUUCGGCUAGGAUGCUGGCGUAAUGGUUGUAUGCCGCCCGUCUUGAAACACGGACCAAGGAGUCUAACAUCUAUGCGAGUAUUUGGGUGUUAAACCCAUAUGCGUAAUGAAAGUGAACGGAGGUGAGAGCCCUUAAGGGUGCAUCAUCGACCGAUCCUGAUGUCUUCGGAUGGAUUUGAGUAAGAGCAUAGCUGUUGGGACCCGAAAGAUGGUGAACUAUGCGUGAAUAGGGUGAAGCCAGAGGAAACUCUGGUGGAGGCUCGCAGCGGUUCUGACGUGCAAAUCGAUCGUCAAAUUUGCGUAUAGGGGCGAAAGACUAAUCGAACCAUCUAGUAGCUGGUUCCUGCCGAAGUUUCCCUCAGGA
rnacentral:rRNA from 1 species